AGAUAUUGGAACUUUAUAUUUAAUUGUUGGCUCAUGGUCAGGGAUAAUCGGUGCUGGGUUGAGGACAAUUAUUCGUUUACAAUUAGGGCAACCUGGGUUAUUACUGGAUAAUGACCAAAUUUUUAAUGUUGUCGUUACAGCUCAUGCAUUUAUUAUAAUUUUCUUUAUAGUAAUACCCAUUUUAAUUGGGGGAUUUGGCAAUUGGUUAGUCCCCCUCAUAUUAGGUGCCCCUGAUAUGGCAUUCCCGCGUUUAAAUAAUAUAAGGUUUUGGUUUCUUGUCCCAGCCUUAGUCCUUUUAUUAUUAAGUUCAAUAGUGGAAAGGGGGGCAGGGACAGGUUGAACUGUGUACCCCCCACUAGCUGGCUCUAUUGCUCAUUCAGGGGCUGCUGUUGAUUUAGCAAUUUUUUCAUUACAUCUGGCAGGGGUCUCAUCGUUGAUAGGGGCUGUAAACUUUAUUAGAACUUUAGGUAAUAUACGGACUUUGGGGAUAUUAGUUGACCGAACUCCAUUAUUUGCUUGAGCUGUUUUAUUAACAACUAUUUUACUUUUGUUAUCUCUCCCCGUUUUAGCUGGGGCUAUUACUAUACUUUUAACAGAUCGUAAUUUAAAUACUUCUUUUUAUGAUGUUGGAGGGGGAGGGGACCCAGUUUUAUACCAACAUUUGUU
rnacentral:rRNA from 1 species